rnacentral:rRNA from 1 species
UACGUAGGGGGCGAGCGUUGUCCGGAAUCAUUGGGCGUAAAGCGCGUGUAGGCGGCCCGGUAAGUCCGCUGUGAAAGUCCAGGGCUCAACCCUGGGAUGCCGGUGGAUACUGUCGGGCUCGAGUCCGGAAGAGGCGAGUGGAAUUCCUGGUGUAGCGGUGAAAUGCGCAGAUAUCUGGAGGAACACCGGUGGCGAAGGCGGCAUCCUGGACCGGUAUUGACGCUGAGGCGCGAAAGCCAGGGGAGCAAACGGG